rnacentral:tRNA from 1 species
AAAGCUUUAAGUUAUUAAACUAUUAACCUUCAAAGUUAAAAAUACAAAAAAAAUUGUAAGCUUUA